ACUCCUUCCUAAAUUUUGGGUGGCUAAGCUCAAAAAAACAGUUGUAAAUAUUUCUGCAAAGCUUAAAAAAACAGCUAAUGCAUCAAUAAAUGCUUUCCAAAAGUUGCAACAAAAAAUUUAUAAAGUAGCAAAAGUAACGUUGCAAAAUAAACAUAUGCUAAAUGCCAUAAAUGCUAAAUUAAAAAAAGUUUGUGCUCGCAUCAAA